GGGGGCUAAUACUUGCAAGUCCGAGCGGACAGAUGGGAGCUUGCUCCCUGAUGUUAGCGGCGGACGGGUGAGUAACACGUGGGUAACCUGCCUGUAAGACUGGGAUAACUCCGGGAAACCGGGGCUAAUACCGGAUGCUUGUUUGAACCGCAUGGUUCAAACAUAAAAGGUGGCUUCGGCUACCACUUACAGAUGGACCCGCGGCGCAUUAGCUAGUUGGUGAGGUAAUGGCUCACCAAGGCAACGAUGCGUAGCCGACCUGAGAGGGUGAUCGGCCACACUGGGACUGAGACACGGCCCAGACUCCUACGGGAGGCAGCAGUAGGGAAUCUUCCGCAAUGGACGAAAGUCUGACGGAGCAACGCCGCGUGAGUGAUGAAGGUUUUCGGAUCGUAAAGCUCUGUUGUUAGGGAAGAACAAGUACCGUUCGAAUAGGGCGGUACCUUUGACGGUCCCUAACCAGAAAGCCACGGCUAUC
rnacentral:rRNA from 1 species